UUAUUUAUUUAUUUAUUUUGAACUGUUGAUAAAUUUAUAUACUCGUUUUUUUUUUUUUUUUGAGAAAGUUAGUAUAUUAUUUGUUUCGUUUAUUUUUUAAAAAAAUAAAUUUAGCUGAAAAUGUGAAUCAGUCAGGAUUUGAACUUAAAAUUUCGAAUACCAACCAUCAAGUCUUUUGAUAAAUUUAUAUACUUUUUAUUGCAUGUAGAAUGAACAAAUAAGAGUCUUUCAGAUUACAUACUUGAACAUAGAAAUAAAGCAUUGUUUUACUAUAAAAAAUAACACUUAACUGUUGUGCAAAUUUUAUGUUUAUUUUAUCAAAAAAAAAUCUGCCGUUAAAUAAAUAGCAAAUUAAAAUUCUAUGAAAUCACAGAAUAAUACGCUGUUUAGUAAUAUGCUAUUAUAAUAAAAUCACAUGAUAGUUAAGCGUAACUUUUUAACCGCACAGUGAAAAAUAUAAGCAUGCAUGCUACAUGACAUAAUAGAUAGUUGAGUCCAACUUUUUUAAUCAUGUGAUGGUAAAGUAAAACAAUCCUAAUUCACAAGAGGAUAAGCUGAAGUUUACCUUAUUGUAACAUAUUAAUAAUUUACAAAGAUAAUAUUCCAUGGGAGGAAAAAAAAAACUUUUUAUCAUUCUUUUUAUUGUAGAGAAUUGUAUUUUGUCCACAAUAUAUCUCAAAUAAAAUCUUAAAAUGUAUGUAUAUACGAAUUAAAAUAUGUAUAUUAUGUUAUACAUGUGAUCGAGCUGUCCAUCUUGUUUUGAGUAUAAAAGAAUCAACUUCUUAUUUGUGGGGAAUAUACUGUUGCUAAACUGCAAAUUGGAUCAGUGCUAUUAUUUUAUUAUUAUUAUUAUUAUAUUUUUUGGAUAAUUUGAAUGUAGUUGAUGUCGCGUUAUGCAUGCUUUUAACAUCCUUCUUGAGUUAACAACUUAAGGUUUUAAAAGAAUAACGAUUAUUUAAUAUUUUUAACACAGUAUAUAAGUAGGAAGUUUUUAAUUUGAGUUUCGUCAGUCUCCUAUUAUUGCUUAGUUUUUUCUUAUUUAAUUUAAAUUUAUAUUUUAGAAUUAUUAUUCUUAAUUUUAAAUAUAAAAAAAUAAAUAUGAAUAUUAAAAAUAUCGUAUUCUUUGACACCCUGUGGCUUGUACUUUUCCCAGUUAGAACAGUAGUUAAUUAGUUUUUUAUUAUGUGGGAAAGUGGAGGGUUUGUUUGGUUUAUUCCAAGUUUUCAAUAAUUGGCCCGAAAUUAAUACGCGCACACAAGCACUGUUUAGCAACAGUUAUUUCGAACACGCAUUUAUUGUUUUUUUUUUUUCUAAUGGAUAAAUUUUAUUUUUUUAAUAAUUUAUCUUAUUUUUUAUUUUACUAUUUUGCAUGGUAAAAAAAAUUAUAUUUAAUUAUCAUAAAAUUUAGGUCCUAGAAAUUAUACUCAAUUACUUUGUAAUUAUUGUUACAACAAACGCACAAACGGAAAUAAAAUGACGUAUACGAAACAAUCAAACCACAAACAGAAAAUAAAGAGAACGCACAGAUUUAAGUGAAAAAUCAUAUGCAGAGAAAAACCACGGGCGAGGCAGAAGAGAGCUUCACAAUCAAACGAAAAAGGGAAUACAAUGUUCAGAAGAUUACAACCAAUCACAAUCUCACGCCUCUAGGGCAAAAACGAAAAGGAAACCCAUAACAGCUUUCGGAUCUGAUCCGAUCCGAUCCGAUCUGAUCCUGUUGGCCCGAGCCCUCCGCUACCCACCACAGACAUUUAUUUUUUCUUCACAAAUUUAUUUUUCCAAUUUUGGUCGCACCGCGAAACUGUUGACGACUCAGAAACCUGAAUUUGAGUCGAUUAUCAAUUUCGAGUCAUAUCUAAUAGUUAUAAAAUUAUUGUGUCAUUCUAUUUGAUAAUAAAUAUUUUGUAUAAUAAUAGAUAAUAUAUUAUAUAAUAGUUAAGUAUAACUUUUUAAAUCACAUAAUCACAAAAUAAAAAUAUAAAUUAAAAGUUAUCUUUUUUAAUUACAGUAUUUUUGAAUUUUGAUAGUAAAUAUUUGGUUUUGGAAAGUGCUCCCUAAGUAAUUAGCAGUUCAAAGUUUAUGUAUCCUCUUCAGUAAAAUAUUAGAUGGCGUUGAAUAAAGAAAAUGUGUAAAUUGUUGCAUGCUUUUUCGUUGACAAGUGUGAUUAUAAGUAUUUUUAAAAUUUUUGGAUCGUUCAAAAUAUAAGAACACGUACAUUUAGCUAUCGCAAUACCAAAUUAGGUUUUAGAAUAACUUUCUAAAAUUGACUCUUCUGAGAAUCUUUUUGGCCCAGAUUUUAGUUUAGUUCAUUCAUAUGUUCGCAAAAUAAUAUUUGAUAAAUAAAAAUAUUUGAAAUAUCUUAGCAGUGGAAAACGAAAAAUAAAAUUCUAUGUAUCAAAAGUAAAAAGAAAAAUUGUUGGCAUUUCUAAUUUACUUAAAAUAUUGUUGGAUGGACGCGAAUAUAAAUAUAUAAUACAUUUUCUAAUAGUAUAACCAUUUAAUAGUAUUUUAUUAAAUAUUAAAUAAUAUAUAAUAUUGUAGUUAUAUGCUUGCCGACGCAUAACAACGGGAGGCCAUUUAAUUUAAAUGUGUGAACAAUAUCAAACUUAGCCCUUUGAAACUUCAAAAUAUUAUAUUUGUCCCUUUCAAAAUCUAAAAUAUCAUUCGUGGCCCUCUACUAUUUGUAUAAAUCUAUCACAAACGUCUCUGUGAACUCCAAACCUAAAGCCUAAAUGCUAAAGCUAAACCCUUUAAUGUUUAUAAGGUAAAAAUUUACAUAAUUUAUCUAAAAUAUGAAUUAUUUUGAAUUAGCCACCCAAUCUUUCAAAAUUUUGUUAUUUUACUAUCAGAUAUUUCAAUUUGUUUGAUUUGAAUCAGCCAACGGCACUUACUCUUUAAAAUUGAAUAUAUCAUUUAACUUUACAGGUAUAAUAGUAUGCUUCAUAUAAUUUUCAUAACUAUAAAUUUAUUAAAAUAAAUAAUUAGCUUAAAUUUUAAAAGCAAAGCAUCGUUGACUGAGUCAAACUAAAUAAAUUGAAAGGUUGGAUAGUAAAAAUAAAAUUUAAAAGAGUCGGAUACCCGAAUAAAAAUGGCACAUAGUUUAGAUAAGUUCAGAAUGUUUUUGCCUAUUCGAAGAACACUAAUGACAUUUUACAAUUUGAAGGAAUUUUAACAAAAUUAGAAUCCGUCGAAGGAGUACUGAAGAAAUCAAGCGUUGAAAUGUCUGUAGCGAUGCUGAUCGUCCAUAACACAGAUAUGACAAAGAGCCGACUGGUUGGGUACUCAAGAGCCAAAGUUCGAAAUCUAAUUGCUCCACAUUUCUACUGAAUUUAUUUUUUAAAUAAUUUUUCAGUGGCGGAUACACUAUAAAUAGAAUGAACUUAAAAUAGGAAACAAGAUUAUGGAGCAGGACCAUCAUCAUUAUUGUCUCAUGGGCCACACUACACAACAACUACAAUAUUGUCUCGUGGGCCUACACUUCCAUGUGGGCCCAAUGAGAAACCCUAAUUUUUUUUAAAAAAAAUAAAAUAUUAGUAGAAGAAUCCGACUAUAGUACUUUCGGGAGCACCACACAUGUGGUGCAGUUUAAUAUUAUUGUCUUGGAAGAACCACUAUCGUGCUGCUUUUACAAUUCUUAAUAUUAGAGUUAAAAAGUCGAAAAUACCAAAUUUUUUUAUAUUUUUGGAAGCAUAAUAGCUCUAUACAUGAAUAGAAUCAAAAUUUUCAAAAAACAAUUUUGUGUUUCUGUAAUAUUAAUAACUACUUUUUUAUGUUUUUUUACAUUUUAUAUAUAAAUAUUUAUCUUAUUGUGAAUUUUUUUUGGAUCUGCGGUUGGUUAUCUUACUAUAUGUAUGAUGCCAUUACUCUCUCGCUCUCUUUCUCUUUCUCUCUGGGAGAAAGAAAAAAAAAGGGUUAAAUAAAUAGCAAAGUAAAAUUUUGUGAAAUCACGGGAUAGUACUUUUUCUAACAAUAUAUCUUUACACCUAAGGAUUUAAGUGCUGUAGUACAGGAUUGUGAUGAAUCUUGCCGACACGGUAUGACACGGUGCGUGCCGAACCGUGUCGAUACUUGCUGGUCAAAAAAAUUUAUGUGUGCCGACACAUAAUAGCAUGAAAUAUUUAUUUUCUUUAGCAACAAAAUAUUCUAACUAUUUAUUAUAUUUUCUUAUCACAUAUUUUAAACUUUAUUGAAAAAAUUACUUACUAAUUUAAAGAAUAGAGGGUUAAGAGUUGUGCCAUUGAUACGGAGUUUGUAUCGUGCCGAUGUCUUAUUGGUAUGGUACGGCACGGUGGAUACGGCCCGUGCCGAUGGACACUUAAAACCUUAUUUACACUAAAAUAAAAAUAAAAUAAACUGAUAGUUAAGCGUAACUUUUUAAUACGAAAAAUCUCUACGGAGCAUCCGGGCCAAGCUACACUACUUAUGAGUGGGGGAUGGAUAUAAUUUUUUUUUUUUUCAUACUGUAGCUAAUGGCAAAAGGAGAGCUAACAUGAUUGGUAUGAUUGAUGAGGAUAGUGAAGUGUACUGAUCCGAAGAGGAUAUAAAGAGCUAUUUCUAUCAUAAAUUUAAGGAGCGCUUCAUAUAUGAAGAGAUGGCCCCGACUUCCUUUGGCGAGUGGAGCGGCUUCUUCAAAUCGUUAACGACCCCUAACCUUGCUCGACUAAUUGGACCUUUCAGUCUAGAUGAAAUAAAAACAAGCAGUUCUUCAACUCGAGAGAGAUAAGGCAUCGGGCCUCGAUAGUUUUCCGUGAGUUUCUACCAAACUUUCUGGAAUACCCUAAAGGAGAAUAUUUUGAACCUAUUCCAGAAAAUGUUUAAGGGGAGGAUGACCACCAGCCCCAUUGAUUACGCCUUCAUCUGUUUAGUCCCUAAGAAGGAAGGGGCUAAGAGCGCGAACGACUUUCGACCUAUAAACCUAUUGAAUGGGAUUCAAAAAAUUUUAUCAAAGGUUCUGGCCAACAAUCUAUAGCUGCUUAUAAACGAUCUAAUAUCUCCCUCCUAGUCGGCAUUUCUGAAUGAGAGAAAUAUCACUGAUACUUUUGCAGCACUUUGUGAACUAAUGGGUUGGGAAAGUGAGAAGGUUGUAGAAUGAGUCGGGGCAAAGGUGGACUUCGAAAAGAUGUAUGAUAAAAUCUAUUGGCAAUUCCUUUUUAGUAUUUUAGAAUGGUGGGAUUUCGACGAAAAGUGAUGUGGAUGAAUCAAACUCUGUGUGUGUUAUGCCAAGAUUGCAGUUUUGGUUAAUGGCGAGACUAUCAAAUGGAUAAAAAUGAAGAGGGGCGUGAGAUAGGGGGACUUACUCUCUCAUUUCCUCUUUCCUUUGGUGGCAGAGUGUCUUGCCCGGAUGACAAAUGAAGCAAUUACAAGUAAUCUUAUUAAAGGACUUGGACCCUUCGAUGUGACUAGGAUUACUCUUAUUUAAUUUGCGGAUGAUAUAUUUUUUUCUAUGAGGGUAAGAAAAGGUAUUUGAGAAAUCUCAAGUUCUUGUGAUACCUCUUUGAAUGGGCAUCCGGAUUGAAGGUCAACAGGAAGAAGUCAGAACUGUUCUACAAUGGACAGGCUGAAGGAAAAGCGAUAAAACUUGCGAAUAUACUUGAGUGUUGAAUAGGCAUCCUCCCUACCAAGUACCUAGGAUUGUCUCUUUCUACCGAGCCCCCUAGCUUUGAAGGAGGAUUAGAAUAGGAUCAUCUUGAAAAUAUAAAGAAAAAUUGACUGUUAGCAAACGAAACUCCUAUCAAGAGGGGGUAGAUUAAUUUUGACAAAUGCGGUUCUAACCAACCUACCUAUAUACUUCUUGUUUAUAUUCAAGGCAUCUAAAUGGAUGAUCGCGCAUACUGAGUCUUUGUAUAGAGACUUCUUCUGGAACGGAGGAAGCAACUCACCAGAUAAGGGUUGUCUGAUAGCUUGGAAGAAUGUAUGUAAGGAUAAGAAAGAAGGAGGACUUGGCAUCUUAGACUUAGCUACGAUGAAUAAGCUCUCCUGACCAAAUGGUGGUGGAAAUUCCACUGGCGCCCCAAUUACAAUGGAGCAAGAUUAUUCAUACUUUAUACUAUCAUAGAAGAAGAUCUUUAAAGAAGAAAUUUUUUUUUUAAACCUUACUCAUAUUGGUGAAAGGGAGUACUUAAUCAGAAUAAAAUCUCCAAAUAUGGUGUAUUAUACAAGUUGGGGAACACGAGUAAUAUCCAUUUUUGGUAGGACCGCUGGCGUGGAAAAACCACAUUGCAAUUGUCAAUAGCCUAGUCGCAUUCCAAGAGACCCAUUGAGCUGUCCAUCUUGCUUUUGAGUAUCCAAAAAGAAUCAAACUCUUAUUUUGUGGGGAAUACACUGGUGCUAAACUGCAACUUGGAGUAGUACUUUAAUUCUAUUAUUAUUAUAUUUUUAAGUUAACUUGAGUGCAGUUAAUGUAUUUUUAUGCUUUUUACUAUUAGUAACGGAGUCGGCACAUUAAUUUCCAUAUACAAAAAAAAUUUUAUGCGUGAGGUUGUAACGGUGAUCUCGUUACUAACUAGCAAAGAUGCUAACGCAUGCUGUAAACAUUAAUCUCAUUUUUCGCACUCUCUUUGUGUUGAUCAAAUUUAAGUUUUUGAAAAAAAAUGAUUAUUUAAUAUUUGUAACAUGAUAUCAAAGUUAGAUGUUUUUAGUCCGGAUUUUCUAAGAUUUUUAUUGUUACUUAAUUUUUUCUUCUUCAAUUUAAAUUCGUGUGUUUAAAAUUAUCAAAAACAUCUCGAUCUUAAAUAAUAAAAAAAUAUUAAAUAUAAAUAUUAAAAAUAUCUUCAUCUUGUAUGCUAGUUUAACUAUCGUCGUGCUCUGUAGCACCUUGUGGCUGGUACUGUCCCCAGUUAGAAAAGUUGCUAAUCAGUUUUAUUUUAUUCCGUGGGAAAGUGAAGGGUUUGUUUGGUUUAUUCCAAGUUUUCAAUAAUUGGCCAGAAAUUAAUGCUUGCACGCAAGCACUGUUUCAAACUCGCAUUUAUUUUUUUUUUUUUGUCGUGGAUAAAUUUUAAGCUAAAUUACAGAAGAUUCUCCGUCAAUAAUUUUUUUUUUUUUUGUUCUUUUCGGUCAUUCAAAAAUCUAUAUUUGUCCCUUUAAAAAAUAAAAAUAUUCGAUUUGACUCCCGCCGUCAAUGUUUUAUUAAGAUUCUGUUUAUAUUUUAUUUUUUAUAUUCAAAAUAUCCCUCAAACCCCCCUCCUUCCGCAUCCUCAGCCGUGCCGCCUCGCCCUCGUCCAUAUAUCUCUCCAUGCCGACACACACACCCUUGUCCGCCUCCACCGCCUCACCCUCGUCCACCUCGAGGAAGUUGAGAAAUAAUUUGGUCAUUUUGUCACAGCGUAUUUCUCUAUGAAUAUUUUUUAUUUUUUAAGAGGGUAAAGUGUAGAUUUUUGAAUGACAGAAAAAAAGUAAAAAAAAACUGAUAUUGAUAGGAAAGUUUUCUGUAAUUUAGCCUAAAUUCUAAUCUUUUUUAAUAAUUCAUCUUAUUUUUAUUUUGUUAUUCUGUUUGUGGGUAAAAAAAAUUAUAUUUAAUUAUUAUAAAAUUUAGGCCUAAAAAAUUUUACUUAACUGCUAUGUGGUUAUAAAGUUACUGUGCCAUUCUAUUUGAUAGUAGAUAUUUUGAAUAACAAUAAUGAUAAUAUCAUAAAAUAGUUAAGUGUAAUUUUUUAAAUCACAAAAUCGCAAAAUAAAAAUAUAAAUUGAAGUUUUUUUUUUUUUAAUUACAGUAUUUUUAAGUAGCUUCUAAUUGUAGGAAAAAUAAGAGCUUUAAAUUGAAACAUUUGGUGUUGACACGUGCUCCCUAAAUUAUAUAAGCAGUUCAAAGUUUCUGUAUCCACUACAGUGAAAUAUUAAAGAAAAUGUGUAAAUUGUUAUAUGCUUUUUCUCGGACAAUUGUGAUUAUAAAUAUUUUUAAGGUUUUGGAUGGGUCAAAAUAUAAAAAUAAAUACAUUUAGCCGCCGCAAUACCAAAUUAGGUUUUAGAAUAGCUUUUCAAAAACAACUCCUCUGAAAACAAAAAAAAAAACUUCUAUAUAUCAAAAGUAAAAGAAUCAUUAGAAUUUCUAAUUCUAUUACUCAAAACAUUGUUGGAUAAACGCGAACAUAGUAUAAUUUUUAAGAGUAUAAUCAUUUAAUAGUAUUUUCUUAAAAGAAAACUUAAAAUACCGCUUAUUUGGUUUCACAUUUUUUCACUUUAGUAUCCUGUGAUUUAAAGUGUAUCAAUUUAAUACCUUAUGAUUUUAUUUUUAUUUUUUUAUUAUCAAUUCUACUAAUUUUUUUUUGUUAAAUCAGUGACAAAGUUAAAACUAAAGGGUACUAAAGUGAAUAUUCGAUAAAUCUAGAUAGAGUAUCUAAAAUUUUGUAUAUAAUUUAACAAAAUAUUAAUGGAGAAGCUGACGAAAAGCUAAAAAUAAAACCAAAGUACACUAACUUAAUACACUUUAAAAUAUAGGGUAUUGAAAUGAGAAUGCAUGAAACCACAAGGGUGAUAUUUAAAAUUUACCCUUUAUUAAAUAAUACUAUACACCUUAGGAUGGCCUAGUUGUCUUGGUAGUUAUAUGCUUGCCAACGCAUAACAACUGCAGGCCAUUUGAACGUGGUAUCAAUUUCAAACAUAGUCCUCAAAAACUUCAAAAUGUUAUAUAUGCCCCUUUGAAAAUAUAAAAUUUUAUUCAUGGCCCUCUAAUAUUUGUAUAAAUCUAUCACAAAUGUCUCUCAGAAUCAUAAUUAGUUAAUUCGCGAAUUAUUCGCGAAUUAUUGAAAAUUCGAAUAAAACAAUCUGUAUACGAUUUAUUUUCAAAAAAAUAGAAUAAUACGCAAAUUUUUUGAUUAGAUUUAUUAUUCGCGAAUAAUUUGUGUACUACGAAAUAUUCGGCCAAAAAAACUCGCAAAUUUUUUGGAUAAAAUUUCUUUCCGAAUUAUUGUCGAAGUAUUGCCAAAUUAUUCACGAAUUAUUGAAAAACCUCAUGAACUUCCGAAAUAUAUGGACCAUGAAAAAGAUGAAGAUGGAGACAAUAAACUUUGCUGUUGCUUUUUUUACUUAAUCUAUUUUAUUUUGUAGCUCUCUUCUUUUUAUAUUUUUAAGAAUUAUAACUAUACAUACUAGUAGCAUAAAUCUAGAGAAAAAAAGUUUAGUUUAAUAGCAGAAUUUUUGAUCCCGAAUUGUUAAUCGGUGAAUGUAUAAUAUCCGUAUAAAUCGAGUAUCCGAAUGAUUGGUGAAUCCAUUUUUUAAGCCGUAUUUUUCAACGAAUUUAAAAAUUGAGAUAUGAAUUUUAUUCGAAUUAUAUCCGUUUCGAAUUUUUGCUGAAUCCGAAUUAACUAAUUAUUCUCUGAACUCCAAACCCAAAGCCUAAACCCUAAACCCUAAACCCUAAACCCUUUAUUAAUAUUUAUAAGGUAAAAAUUUACAUAACUUAUCUGAACUAGAAUUAUUUUGAAUUAGCUACCCAAUCUUUCGAAAUUUUGUUAUUUUACUAUCCAAUAUUUCAAUUUGUUUAAUUUGAAUACUCAACAACACUUUGUUUUUAAAAUUUGAAUGUGUCGUUUAUUUUUAUAUAUUUAAUUAGUAUGCUUUACACAAUUCUCAUAAUUAUAAAUUAUUAAAAUAGGUACUUAACUUAAAUUUUAAAAUUAAAGUACCAUUGAUUGGCUCAAAUUAAACAAGUGAAAGAUUGGAUAGUAAAAUUAAAAUUUUUAAAAAAUUAGACAAUCAAAUCAAAAUGAUCCACAAUUCAUGUAAGUUAUGUACGUUUACAAGCGUUCAAAGUUCAAAUAUCUGCAGUGGGACCGACCAUCAAGUGAUAAAGAGCUAACUAGUUGGUAGCCAAGGGUAGGGAUGUCAACGGUUUGGAUUCGGGGCGGAUUUCCAAAAAUUCGAACCCGAACCCGACUCCAAACUUGAAAAUCGAACCCGAACCCAAGCCCGAACUAGACAGAUUUUAAAAAUCCAUAUUCAAACCAGAACCCGACAAAAAAUCCGAAGCCCGAACCCGAACCCGAAUCCGAACCCGAAAAUUUGACCCAAAACAAUUAUUUCUCUUUUAAAUAUUUCAAAAUAUAUUAUAUUAAAUCUAAAUUUUUAUAAUACAAAUUUAAAUAUAACAUCAAAUUUUUAUAUACAUAUUAUAUAUAAUGUAAAAUAAAUUCGGAUUCAGGUCAGGUUCGGAUUCAAGUCGGGUACAGUCAAAAUCCAUAUCUGUAUCUACAUCUGUCGGGUUUUUAUUUUUGAUAUACAUAUCCGAAAUUAUAUCCAUUUAGCAUCGGAUAAUUCCGCUCCGUUCGAAUUCGGAUUCAGUUACAUAUAAAAAUAUUUAAACACCGUUUUUUAACACCUUAACUUUUAGAGUACAACGAUUAUUUUACAUGGUAUCAGAGCUGGAGGUCCUGAGUUCGAGUCACGCCAGGCUCCUAGUAUGUUAAUUUCCUCCCAUUUAAUUCAAGUCCACGUAAUGGGACGUAAGGGGGGGUGUUAAAUAUAAAAAUGUUUAAAUACCGUUUUCUAACAGUUUAAGUUUUUAGAGUACAACGGUUAUUUGGGCCAAAUUUGGAAGUGAAGUUGCUCUACAUUUUUAGCAAAAUAUAUGUUUUAAAUAAAUUUUCAGUGGGGGAGACACUAUGAUCAAGUACAAUGAUCUAAAAAUAGGAACAAGGAUGAUAGAGCAGGACCAUCCUCUUUAUUGUCUCAGCGGCGGAUCACUACGACAACAGUACAAGUAGGAUAGAGCAGGGCCCUCCUCUUUAUUGUCUCGUGGGCCCAACGCUCCCAUGUGGGCCCAAUGAUAACGCGCCUAAUUUUUUUUUUAAAAACAAAUAUUAUUAAUUAAUAGAAGAUUCCGAUUAUGAUGUUUCCAAAAGCACCUUUCACCUUGUGCGUAUUAAUAAUAAUAAUAUUAUUAUUAUUAUUAUCUCAGAAGAACCCCUAAAUUCUACGGAGUUCAUUAUCAUUCCAAUCCUAAAAAGUCAAAAAUACCUAACUCUUUGAUAGUUUCGAGUGUACAGUAACUCUAUGUAUUAAUAGAGUAAUUUUCAAAGAACAUUAAAAUAAUAUUUUUACCGUCACAAAUAUGCUCAUUCAAAUUUUUUUUCUAAUUGUUGGAAUUAUAUAGAUAUUUCAUUUCAGAAAUUUCCAACAGUCAUUUUCUUUUUUUUUAUCAUCACAAAUAAUAUAAGAGAGAUAAAAAAAUCAAUUUAUUUCAUUCAAUAAUUAGGAUUAAGUAUUUUACCUAAUAAUUAACUAUAUUCUUUAGGGUAUAUUUGAAAAUAUUAGAUUUUUUUAAAAAAUAAAUAUAAAAAAAUAAAUUUUGUAAACAUAUAUCUGGUAUUCGAUAUAUUUGUAAGGACCAUUAUGCAAUUAACCUAAAAAAAAUAUGGUGUGUCGUGAUAAACCGUAAAAGAGUAUCCGCGAGUAACCCCACCGCAUUCUCCUCGACGCUUCGUUCUCCCCAUGGUGCGCGACUUUUAACGUACUCCCACUCCCCGGUCUCAGUUUCCACUCUGCGAGUUCUCUCUCUCUCUCUCUCUCUCUCUCUCUCUCUCUCACUCUCCAUCGAUCUCGGAUCUCCUCACCGACCUUCUCUCGAUUCGCCAUGGAUUCGCUUCUUCUCCGGCCAUCUCCCCUCCCUCCGCGGCCCUUCGCCGCCGCCGCCGCCGCCUCUCGGCGAGGUACGCGCUCCCCACUCGAUUCGAGCUCUUGAUGGGUUGCAUGAGGGAAGAUGCCUCUGAAUCGAGCUGAUUGAUCUACUAUCUAGGGUUUAGAGCGUCAAAGUAGUUGAAUCGCGAUUAAUUUUAUGGCAUUGAUCUUAGGAUUGCUAGUUUUCUCCUUGUCUAGGGCGAGAGUGUGAGUAUGUGGUGAAUGAAUAGCCUUGGAUUGAGUUCUGGAGUUCCGGAUCGUAAGUAUAAGAAGCUAUGUAUCAAGAUACUUCUAUAAGCCUCGCGUGUCCAGUGUGGACACUUUUUGGAUACGUGUUCAAUGCUGAUCCAUAGCUCAGACAAUUAAGAAAACAUAUACAUAUUUUUAUUUUAUUUUAUAUAUGCAUAUAUAAUGAUGAUAAAUAUGAUGGAUGCAUACAAUUUAUUUUUGACAAUGUAAAUAAAUUAUGUAUGGUGGAGAAUUUUUUUUAAAAAAAUAUAUGAACUAUAAUGAAAAUUUUACUAACAUUCAUUCGUAUAAGAUAACAAUAUUUUUUCAAAAUUGAUAAUUUAUAUAUAAUAUAUAUAUAUAUAUUAAUAAUAUUAUAUUUUAUUAGCGGUAUUCAUGCCGUGUUCGUGUCCUAAUUUUUUAAAAACUAUCGAGUCACCGUGUCCGAGUCGUGUCGCAUCCCGUAUCCCGUGUCAGUGUCUUUGUCAUCUAGAUAAGAAACGAUUGGUAGAUAAGUUUCAUAUUAUCCUGCUUCUUCCUUUUCUUUUAUUAGAUAUGUUGAGAGAGAUAAGCUUUUGUGAUUUGAGUAUGACGACGUGUCUAAAUGAGCGAUUAGCACAGCAAUUUAUGGACACUUGCGUGAGUGUUUAACUUAAGAGAAUGUGUUCUUAUUAUUAUUAUCAUUUUUCCCAACAGCUUUGUAUGCUAAAUUACAGAAAUCUGCAACUGAAGCUAUUCCCCUGUCUCAAUUUUCUCAAAAUUUGAUCACAUUUUUGACAAAGGAAAAUGUGAGGUAAACACCUUGACAAAUUAACAUUGGUAACUGAGGCAGCAGGACAAGUGUAAGAUGGUCUUUGUGAUGUAAUUCAGAAAAUCAAUUAAUGUGGGUUACUUUAGCUUCAAGUUAGAAAGGAACUUGGUAAAAAAGCUCACGUAUACAAGAAGUUGGGUGUUCAACAGUCUUCGAAGGAAGAUUGAGGUUAACUUGCCGUGCUAUAAUAAGAAAUUUAAUAAGAAGUUAUAAGGUACAAAUGUAAUUGUUCAGUUUAGACAAUUUUUAGCUCCUAGAAGAAAUCUUUUUUACUUUCUAAUGAAACUCCUUUGCUUCAUUUGUUUGGUUUCACCUUUUGCAAGUCAUAUUCAUGUCCUCUAGAUUGACGAGCUUGCUUGUUGAGUAGCUAACAGAGUCUUGGUUUUUUUUUUUUGUGGGGGUAUAUUUCUCAGAUUCUCGGGUACCAAUACUUUAUUCUACUGGCCGAGCAUGUAAUGGCCCCUCUGUAUGGUUCAGUAGAAGAGUUCAAGAGCCCCUCAGAGACCAUUAUUUCAGACAUAUUGAUGGAAAAUCUACAUGUAGUGGGAGAACUCGUGAAUCGACCACUGUGCAUGCCUCAGGGAAGCCUUUAGAACCUGGACAUGAAGCAUAUGAUUCCUCGAGCAUCUGGCGACCAAUGUUAUCUUCCCUAAAUGCUUUUUACAGAUUUUCACGGCCACAUACAGUUAUAGGAACAGUUAAGUGGUACUCUUGUAGGAUUUUAAGUUAAAAGUUGUUGUACGGUUAUAGUACUUUCCCAGAUCUCAAGAUUUUUAUCAAUAAAAUUAUAUUUUUCACUUGUCAUCGACAGUUCUAAGAAGUGCUUUAUGUCUGAGCAGGCUCUGAGUAUAGUCUCUGUUUCCCUAUUGGCUGUUGAGAACUUGUCUGAUAUCUCUCCCUUGUUUCUGACUGGGCUGUUGGAGGUAACGAGUCUCAUUUUUUGAAAAUUUUAACCAACUUUCAUGGAACUAAAUGUUUUUGUACUUUCAGGCACUUGUGGCUGCACUCUUCAUGAAUGUUUACAUUGUCGGACUAAAUCAAGUGUAUGACAUUGAAAUAGACAAGGUAUCCCUCUAUAACCAGUCUUGGAAUACCCUCGUUCUUUGCCCUGCUCUAAAAUGAUUUAGUAGGAUGUUAUCUAUUUAAAUACAACAAUUUCGUGAUCUGCAUCAAUGCAUCAUUCAGAAUGCAUGCAUCCUGGUGCCUAAAGUUUUCUUCUGGAACUCAUUUUGAAAUUUAAUCCCAUCAUUUCAGGUCAAUAAGCCAACUCUUCCACUGGCUUCGGGGGAAUAUUCUCUGUUGACUGGGGUUGUGAUCGUUUCAACUUUUGCAGUUUUGGUAAGUAAGACUGUUUAAGUUGUCAGAAUAGUUUGGAGAACCGUAUUUGCUAUCUAUUGCUUUGCAUAGAGCAUGCAAUACAUGGGAUUGAUGCUACAAGUAGUUUAGUAUGUUAGAAGUAGUCUAGUUUUUUUUAUGUCUAUUUUAGUGCUUAGAAUCUCACUUCAUAAAUGCUUGUGCACCCAAUUUCAGAGGUUUCAUUCAUACUAAGUACUGCUUCGUGCCAAAGAUGAUGUUGAUGCUAAUCUAUAGAAUACAUCAAUUGGCGGUUGGGUCACAUCAAGAAAAUGGGUCCUUAGCGAGCCAUGUUGCCAAUUAAGGCAUAAACCGAUGGGAGCUGACGCGCCCAUUGCACUGUAAACCGGCUAUAAAAUAUGCAUCAAAGAUAAAUUUUUGUAGUACAAUAAAUUAUUAAAUUAUUUGUUAUUACAUAUUAUUAUAUUUUAUUUUAUUUUAUAGUACUAAUUAUUAGGUAUUUUAUCAAUCACCUAAUAUAUUGUGCGGUGUAUGGACAUUAGUUUACACAGGUGCAAGCGAGAUUUCUUCUCUCUCUUGGAAUUAUGAGUGCACUCUAUUAAGCAUUCUCUGCAUCGGGUGUAUAUUGUACAUAUACCACAUACUUAAAACCCUUUAAUAGAGAUUUCAAAAUCUAAUUUACUAAACAGAAUUAAUUAUUAGGCUUUGUAGAUCAAAUAUAUUUAGUUAAGUUUUAAUAUUAGAAUAUUUGUAAUCUAAUAUAAGGUUCGGUGUACGGAGUGUUAAUAUACACAAGGUGCAUGUAAUAGUUUCUUCUUGCUCCGAUCAAUUUUAAUAAGGUAAAGACACCCUCACCUAUUCAACAAUUUGAAAUAAGUCCUCCAACUUUAACUUUUUAGUUAAAAAAUUAUUUAUAGAAUAACUAUCAAAACUAUUUAGUUUGAUUGAGUUUUUAAAUAAAGUUAUUACAAUAAUUUAACUCUACAAAUACUGAAAGUUAAGGUUAUUUUUUAUAAUGGCUACUUUAUAGAUUUUUUUUUUUUUUUGUAUUUCUUUGGUUACAAUUUAUUUAAUCUUAAAAUAAAAUUAUAUAUCUUAAUUAACUGAAAUACUACCUACCCGCCUCAAAACACACGGCCAACACUAGUUAGUGUUAUUUUGCCACUUACAAUGUCGUACAAUUAAAUACCAGCACCAAACAGAUGUUAAAUUUCCUCACUGAAAAUUAAUCUUGAUGCUGGUAUUUUCACUUGACAACGUUUGAAAUGGUUUAUUUUGUGUCAUGGUUGCCGCUUUUGGCUAGGAUUUCAGUCCAACAUAACAUUUUGAUAAUACAGCUGCUUUGUAGCUUACUCAUGCAUACAACAUUAUGGAAUUGUCAAAUGAUGCAACAUUGUUGCUGUUUAGGGGCUUUCACUUUCUAAGCUUUACUAUGAAUGUAUAUACAGUUAUCUUCAGCUUUAUGAUACUUAUGGCACGUCUUGUAAAUGUUUGUCUCAAUUUAGAGCACCUAUCAUAUACCACUUCUGUCAUUGGAACUACCAAAAUUUUUGACCUCUAUCAUAUACAAAUAUCUUAUUUCAAAUGAGACGAAAGCAACUUCUCAUUACGACUUGUAUUGCUAACGAAGAUGUAAAGAUCAGUGUGCCGUGAUUAAAAUUUCCUUUACCAACAUGUAAAUCAAAAUAUCUGAAUAUUGGUUAGAACAGAAUUGUUAAUCACGAGCUUUUCAUUCAGAGCUUUGGUGUUGGAUGGGCUGUCGGUUCUUGGCCAUUAUUUUGGGCUCUGUUCGUUAGCUUUGUACUUGGAACCGCAUACUCUAUCAAUGUAAGCAUUAUCCUUUUCUGCCUAAUUUACUCUAUUUUCUUCCAGUUGAUUUUUCAGAGUUUCACGACUGCUCAAUAUGCAUGCAAAUAAUGGAGGUUUUUUGACAAUGCAUCUGUGGAUUUGUUUUGAACUUCUUGUCAAUCAUAUUUUUUUAAAGGUAGAGAGAAAACAUUUCUUCUUUCAGUUGGGAAGUUUAGGCCUUUUUUACAUUUUAUCUUCUUCGCCUAUAUGAUAUUUGCCAGGUAUUUUAAUCCUGAAGCAAAAGAUAAAAAAGUUCCAUAGAUAAUAUGAGAUCGGCAGAUAAUUAGCUUGAUUUUGUUAAUUCUAAAACAAUGAAAUAAGUGAGCUAUUAUAACAGGCCAUUCCUAUUUGUUGCUCCCUUGCUUGCUUCCAGUUUGGACAAGGUAGUACCACACUGCAUUUAUUUAUUUGUAAAGGAUCCAUUCAAUUUAGAGUGCAAUUCAUGGGUGACCCAAAUUGAAGGUUAGUUAAAGCACUUCACACCCACCUUAGGGCUCUCUGUAAGCUAGCUAGAACUGAAGUGAAACUUAGUUACGCAGGAUAUUAACAAAACUAAAGAUGAUAUAUCUAAUCGAAAUUAAAAGCAUUUAUCUUGAUCUUGGCAUAAAAAAUAUCACCCACACACUCAUUAUCCAAUAAUAAGUUAGAGCAAAUAUAAAAAUAAAAGCAGUAUACAUGUUCUUUGUACCCUGAUGGCUUUUAAACUCGGAUACUUACAGAUCCCCUUUUUAAGAUGGAAGAGAUUUGCUGUUAUUGCAGCACUCUGCAUAUUGGCAGUGCGUGCAGUGAUAGUUCAGCUGGCUUUUUUUUUGCACAUUCAGGUAUAUCUUUCUAUAGCAACAUGGUAUAAGUUAUUUGAAUGCUCAAAAUGUCAUGUUUUCUGUGCUAAUAGUGCUAGGUGUUUUAUGUUGAUAAAUUUUCCAGACAUUUGUUUUCAGAAGACCAGCUAACUUUUCAAGGCCGUUGAUUUUUGCUACAGCGUUUAUGAGCUUCUUUUCUGUUGUUAUAGCAUUAUUCAAGGUAACCAUCAUGAUGGCAAUUCUAUUAUGUUCAUAUGUUCAAAUCUGCUUGGAGAUUCUAGUGUUGUGUGUGUGUGUGUGUGUGUGUGUGUGUGUGUGUGUGUGUGUACACACUAAAAAUAUAUUAAUCUUAAAGUUGAUCGUUAUGCAGGAUAUUCCUGAUAUUGAAGGGGACCGCAUAUUUGGCAUUCGGUCUUUCAGUGUCCGUCUGGGGCAAAAGCGGGUCGGUCAAAAUUAAUAAAACUUAUGACCCUGAUUGAAAUGACUGAAAAAUCUUCUUCAAAUUGCUAAUAACUGUGCAUUAAAGCAGGUGUUUUGGAUUUGUGUUUAUCUGCUUGAGAUGGCUUAUACUGUUGCCAUGGUGAUUGGGGCUACUUCUUCCUGCCUUUGGAGCAAAGUCAUAACUGUAUGUGGCCUUUUAUGUCGUUGAUUGUAGAUUUAAUUUACCUUACAUGAGCUUUUGCAAAAGUGCUGCUGAGUGAAGCUGUUUUAAGUAGAUAUCUUCCACAACCCUUCUCUCUGUAGCAGAAGCAGUUGCUUCAACUUGUAGCUUUUGCUAUUGGUCUGAAAGCUCAUAUCAAAUUUCUGGUACAAUGAAAUCUCUAGACUUUGUUUUUACCAAAUGUGCAGCUGCUGCUUUUCUGAGUAGAUUAUCUGUCUCAGAAGCCAGGUCAAAUGAUCACUCUAGGAUGAUUGUAUGCAUGACACCGAAUUCAUUUAUAAUGGACCAGACAUGAUUUUCUCAUGCAUCUUUUCUCUUAUUAUUUUAUUGUUAACAUAAAUGAAGGUCUAAAUGUUAUUUGUUAAUUAUGCUUUUGAUAAAAGUACUUUCUAUUGGAUUUUCAGGUUUCAGGCCAUGCUAUCCUUGCUUCGAUCCUUUGGAAGCGUGCAGGAUCUCUCGACUUGAUGAGCAAAGCUGCAAUAACAUCCUUUUAUAUGUUUAUUUGGAAGGUAAUCAGUAAUUUCUGUGCUUAUACGGUGAACUAAAGUUAGCUCCAUCUAAUUAUUAAUUUUAGACUCAUCCCUCUACUCGAGACUAUUUCAGACCCUUGUCAAAUGAAAUCAGGCAAAAUACGAAAAUUUCCUUGCACAUUUUGUCCCUUUAUUUUAUACAGUCAAAUUUUAACCCCUUUCUUUUUUUGCCCUCUUUGUAUUCACAGCUCUUUUAUGCCGAAUACUUGCUCAUUCCUCUUGUGAGAUGAAGACAUAUGGAGUCAGAUUAAGUGUGCUGUUGCAGUCGCAAGGGAUUCUUUUCUGAAACCCCCAAAUUAUCUUCUACUUUGCUUCUCCAAAUCUUUGCUUCCUGGCCAAGCUGCUUCUAGAAUCUGUCAUCUUCAACCUGUCCCACCACAAGAGCCAAUAUCUUAAGGUAAGUUGUAUAAUUUGUAUAUUAUUGGAGGAGUGCUUCGCAUGAUCCUAUAUUCCAUCACUCAGUGCGUUUCAAUAGGUCGCAGAUUAGAUGGAAAUUUAUUCGUAAUGAAUAGGAUAUUUCUGUACAUAUUAUUUGACACUGAUUGGUUAGUCUAAACAUGCUAACUUUUCUAGCUAUCCUUUGAUGGAUAGCUAGAAAAGUUACUUAUUUUCUUUAGGAUUUUUUUUGGAUAUUAGUAUUAAAAACAUGCAACAUACUCUUGGAUGUGCAACGGAUCAAAUGCUCUCAGAUGAGAUGUCAUUGGGGAUCUCUCCAGGGAAGUUUUCUCUAUUCUUGAGGGCCCGUGACUUCAAUUUAUUUUGGGCUGAAUUAAGUUUGAGCCCAGAACACGUCCACUUAUUGCAUAAUCUGUGGGUCAAACUGGGUCUUUUUUAAAAAAAACAGUAAAAGCCCGUAGACCAAACUGGGCCCGUUACGUAGCAAAUCUCAUUACUAUAAGGGCUUGUUUGGUUCAUCCAUUUUGGGUAUUGAAUGGGAAUCGGUUUGAUCAAAUGCAGUUAAUUUUGUUUGGUUCGCAUGAAUCGGUUUGGGAUUCCUAUUCCGGACUGGAAUGGGAAUGGCCUAUUAGCUUUCAACUUGAUUCCGGUCUUCUAGCUCGGAUUGAGAUUUCAUUCCGAAAGUCCACUAAAUUUUCGAAGCCCAUGUGACCAUCUCGCCUUCCUUCUCUUCACCCCUUUCUCAUAAAAAAAAAAAAAUCUAUCAUCUCUCAAAACCCUAUUCCUAACUCACAUCAAUAAAAGUUUUUAAAAAUAAAUUUGAUUUUUUUUUUGGAAAACUUAUUAGAGAAUAGUAUUAUAUUUUUCAUAAAUUUUAAAUAAUAUAAAUUUAUAUUUGAGAGUAAAAUUAGUAUUAUUGUAUCCUAUAAUUUUUUUAGUUUAUACGAACCAAAUAAUGAAAUGUGAAUAACUCAUUCCAAUUUCCAAUCCACAAAUAAACCAAACGUCUUGGGGGAGUGAGCCAUUCCAAUUACCAUUCCAAUUCAUUCUCAUUCCAUUAUCCAUUCCAAUUUUCCCCUUGAACCAAACAAGUCCUAAAAGUUUCAAGCGUGUUUGGUUGUGUGGUUUCCUAUUCGAUACUGAAAAUAUCUUUAAUAAUGAGCAUUUUCGUUCAUUUAUUUUAUUUUAUAUAUGUUUUUUGAUGUAUGAUAGUGAUUUGUUGGUAUAAUUUUAGCUCAUAAUAGGCUUUAUAUUUUUCUCUAGUCACUAGAAACUAAUAAUUAAUAGUUGUAUAUAUUCUCGGGCACAAACUUUGGAGCCUAGGUCACACUGCAAACUACAGAAACUGGGAACCAAAAAAAUAUUGUAAAUAGGAAAAAAGCAUAGAAAAUGUAAUCAGUUAAUCUAACUGAUGUUUAGGCUUCGUUUAGAAUCGCAAUGUGCACUUGUUGCGUUUGAUAGAAAAUUAUCGUAAGAAAAUAUUUUAUUAUUUUUGUAAGAAAUAAUUGUCACUUUUGUGCGGGGAAAAAAAAUUAGAAGUAGCAUAAUUUUACAAUUUUUUUUUAGUGCAAUAACGUUAAGCUGUUUUCCAUAAUCAAUGGGUUAUAAAUGAAAACUAGUGACACAAUUUUUAUAAAAAGGAUACCUCCUAGCCUUAAAACUAAGAGAUUUUUAAAACUACCAGUUUUUCAAAACUGGACCAUGAAAUCCAUCCGCGACUAGGGGUGUAAUGUGUGCCGUACCACAUUCGCACGGGCCGGAGGCUAGCCUGGCAUGGUCCGGCCCCAAAGUCGAGCCGUGCUGUGUCGGGCCGAAUAUCUUGACCUCUCGGCCCAGCACGCCCCCUCGGCUAGCACGGGACCGGUCGUGUGGGGCCGAGCUUUGAGCCAGCCCAUUUUUUAUUUAUUUAAUUUAUUUUUAAAAUAUAUUAAAUUUUAGAAAAUUAAAAUUUUAGAAAACCACGUGGGUGGCCUGCGGGCCGCCCAUCCCGUUUUACACCCCUGACCACAACUACAGAAUAACAAAGCAAGGCAAGACGAUUGGGAUGGCUGGUUGAAAGUUUUCCAAGGUAAAUUUGAUUUGGAAUCUAUGAUUAAUUAACCAUAUCUUGUGCAUUCUUUAUUUUAACUUUUGAAAGAGGUAAAAAAAAAAUAAAAAAAAAAAAAAGGAGUAUAAAAGGGAAGGGUGACCUAUUAGGUUUGGGUUUAGUUGUGUUACUGGGAGGAGUAGGGACGCAAAUGGAUCCAGGUUGAUGGAGCUUCCGUUCAUAAUGGGGACAGUAAGUGGAGGCCUUACUCAUUUUGAAUUCUAUCCUGAUUUGGUGUAAAAAAAAAAAUAGAGAGUGAGAGGUGAAAGACUCAUUUCUUCCCUUUUUUUUCCGUCCUAUUCGAUGUAAUUUUAUUAAAAACUUGUUCUUGUUUCAAUCCGUCCUGAUGGAAUAAUAAGUGGGGAUAAAAAAAUAGAGAUAAAAAGUAAAAAAUCAAUUCGUUCCGAAUUUAUUCGGAUUCACCAAAAAAAAAAAAGGUGGGAGGUGGGGGACCGCUAGGAUCCGUCAAGUUUGCAUCCUUAGGGAGGACUCGGCUUGAGAUACAAGAUUUCAAGCUCCCGAUUCUCAAACACCCCACAGACACACACAAAAGAAAAAGAGAAAGAGUUUUUUUUUUUUUUUUAUUUCUUUUUUUUGGAGAGAGAGAGAGAGAGAUAGGUAGCACGCUAUCUGUUUCGUUUAUUCAUUUCAUUUAGAAAUAAACUUAGCUAGAAAUAUAAUAUAAAUCAACUGAGUUCGAAUUUGAGAUCUCGGAUAUCAACUAUCAAAUUUUUUACCAUACAUCUUAAAAGUCACAUCUUAUUAAACUUUUCAGAUUCAAGUAAGUUUGGGUAAAUGAAUUUGUUCAUUGCUUUCCUCAAUGCGCUUAGUAAUUCCUAGAAAUCAAAAUGAUGGAGAGAGAG
rnacentral:lncRNA from 1 species